rnacentral:misc_RNA from 1 species
UACUGCAUCAGUCACACAUGGAUAACCUGCCUCUACGAUUGGAAUAACUUCGAGAAACCGGACCUAAUACUGAUAUCUUUCUCUUCCCUCAUGAGGAGAGAUGCAACGAUGGUUCUGUUAUCACUUACAGACGGACCCGCGCCUCCUUAGCUAGUUGGCGAGGUAACGGCUCACCAAGGCAACAUCGCCUAGCCGACCUGAGAGGGUGAUCGUCCCCACUGGGAGCGAUACCUCGCCCAGACUCCUAACGGGAGGCAGCACUCGUACUCAUACGGGAGGCAGCAGUGGACUCAUACGUGAGGCAGCAGUGGGACUCAUAUGCGAGGUAGCAUUGGGACUCCUACAAGAAUCACCAUUCUUACUCCUACGUUACCCACCUUUUUCUCUCCUAUGGGGGGAAACACUUUGACCUCAGCUCACAACAAAUUCUCUCGACUUUCCUCCUUGAACGCUGAGCCACUUUNACUCCAUCCCCUCUUGCGAUUAACUCGAGCCUCCGGA